rnacentral:tRNA from 1 species
GGCGAGAUAGCUCAGCUGGCUAGAGCAUCGGAUUCAUAACCCGAAGGUCGGGGGUUCAAGUCCCCCUCUCGCUA